UACGGAGGGGGCUAGCGUUGUUCGGAAUUACUGGGCGUAAAGGGCUCGUAGGCGGCCAACUAAGUCGGAUGUGAAAUCCCCAGGCUCAACCUGGGAACUGCAUCCGAUACUGGAUGGCUUGAAUCCGGGAGAGGGAUGCAGAAUUCCAGGUGUAGCGGUGAAAUGCGUAGAUAUCUGGAGGAAUACCGGUGGCGAAGGCGGCAUCCUGGACCGGCACUGACGCUGAGGAGCGAAAGCCAGGGGAGCAAACGGG
rnacentral:rRNA from 1 species